UGGAUAACCGUAGUAAUUCUAGAGCUAAUACAUGCUGUAAAACCUGACUUUUGUGGAAGGGUUGUAUUUAUUAGAUAUAAAACCAAUACUCGCAAGAGGAUUGUGAUGAUUCAUAAUAACUGAGCGGACCGCGGCCUUGCCGCGGCGAAUCGUUCAAGUUUCUGCCCUAUCAGCUUUCGAUGGUAGUGUAUUGGACUACCAUGGCGAUCACGGGUAACGGGGAAUUAGGGUUCGAUUCCGGAGAGGGAGCCUGAGAAAUGGCUACCACAUCUAAGGAAGGCAGCAGGCGCGUAAAUUACCCAAUCCUAAUUCAGGGAGGUAGUGACAAGAAAUAACAACUCGGGCUUCUUUUGAGGUUACGAGAUUGCAAUGAGAACAAUUUAAACCACUUAUCGAGUAACAAUUGGAGGGCAAGUCUGGUGCCAGCAGCCGCGGUAAUUCCAGCUCCAAUAGCGUAUAUUAAAGUUGUUGCAGUUAAAAAGCUCGUAGUUGAAUUUCUGGCCGGUGCUGUCCUUGACUCUCGCAGUCAGUUCAGGACUUGGUCAUCCGUAUGGGAAGCUAGCUCGGCCUUCACUGGUCGGUUAGUGGAUCAUACACUUUACUUUGAAAAAAUUAGAGUGUUUCAGGCAGGCAAUUGCUUGGAUACUGCAGCAUGGAAUAAUGGAAUAGGACUUUGACCUAUUUGUUGGUUUCUUCGAGGUCAAAGUAAUGAUUAAUAGGGACAGUUGGGGGCAUUCGUAUUUAAUUGUCAGAGGUGAAAUUCUUGGAUUUAUUAAAGACGAACUUAUGCGAAAGCAUUUGCCAAGGAUGUUUUCAUUA
rnacentral:rRNA from 1 species